GACGUUGGGUUAAUCUUCAAAGAAACUGGACUGAAAUAAUGUAUUUCCAUUACAGCAUCCACCUGGACUGACAUCACAGUCUCACAUAAUAAACAAGAGCUGUGUCCUCUAAAGCCUUUCAAGCUUUCUGUUUUAAUGAAGUUUUCAGUUUAUGUAGAGCUUUUGGUGAAAAUCCACUUUGAAAAAAUUACACUACCUCUGUGGCACUAUUUUCUGGCACAAGGACCCAAACAGACAAGGGGGGUGGGUUUGCUUCAGCCCAUCCUUCUGCCAUCCUUAUGCUGAGUAGUACUUUCCAAAGCUAUCCUUGCUGUACUGCUUGAGAAGUAUCUAAAUCAUUUUGUCAUGGUUGGUAGGAAUUGGGUGAUCGACUAAAGCCAAUUUAGCCGGAGCUGAAUGAGAAAGCAGUCCUGCCAGACCCACGACUGUUUUCAACAUGAAGCUGAGCAUCCAUCUGGACUAGACACAACUGUGUACUCAUUCAGGAGCCCUAAGAGGACUCAGGCACACAGUGGGAGCCAGCCACAUCCCUACCAGCUACUAUGCCAGCAUGUAACCCCUCCAAACAGCCUGCUGAGACUCCACCUGCACUUCUUUGCUCUGAUUCGAGAACCCAUAAUUUUCCUCACCAGCUUCCUCCUGCGUCAGCCAUCUGGGAUGUCUGGUGAAGGAAACCUCUUCAACUGCUUGGACCCUGUUAAUGUCAGCUCUCCAGUCACCCCCAGAGCACUCCUCAGCAUCACCUCCUGGCUUUUUGGGUACCUUCAGAAAUGAGAUAGUCAGAGGUGUGCUGCAGCAUAUUCUCCUUCUCCUUCACUGUGAAUUUUACACAAUCACAAAAUAGCUGACUUCUGAAGGGGCCUCAUAAUCAUCAAGUCCAACCGUCCCUUGCUCAAAGAAGGGUCAGUUAAAGUAGGUGGAUCAGGACAUUGCUCAGUACCAGCUUUUGGAUAUCACCAAGUGUGGAGACUCCACAACUCUCUGGGAAACCUGUGCCAGUGUUUGAUCACCCUUGUAGUAAUUUUUUUUUCUUCUAUUUAGAUGGAAUUUCUUGCAUUUCAGUGUGUACCCAUUGUCCUUUCAGUGGGUACCACCACAUUCCUGGCUUAAGUCCACCAUGAUCCCUAGGGCCUGCUUUCCAGUUUGUCAGUGUCCAAAUGUACUGGUACAUGGGGUUAUUUGUUCCCACGGACAGGACCUUGCAUUUCCUUUUUUUGAACUUUGUAUGUUUCCUGCUGGCUCAUUUCUCCAUCCUGUCCAGGUCCCCCAGAGCGGCACCAAAACCAUUUGGUAUACCAACCACUCCUCCUGGUAUUGUACCAUCUGCAAACUUGCUGAUGGUACGGUCUGCCUCAUUAUCUAGACCAUUAAUGAAGAGCAAUCAGGUGUUUCAAAUGCUGAGCGUUUUUAAUCUAUUGGAAGCUCAUUUUCUCAUUUAACCAUUUUGUUUAUGAAUACCCUGUUUGUAUAAUGUAAAUCCAAAUGAUUCUCCAUUAUUCACCUUUAUAUUUUAGGUGUAGCAUAAAGCCAUGGGAUUUUUAAGUGAAUCAUAAUGGAAUAAAACUUGUAGCGGACUAU